rnacentral:rRNA from 1 species
UACGUAGGGUGCGAGCGUUAAUCGGAAUUACUGGGCGUAAAGCGUGCGCAGGCGGUUCGUUAAGUCAGAUGUGAAAGCCCCGGGCUCAACCUGGGAACUGCAUUUGAAACUGGCGGGCUUGAGUAUGGCAGAGGGGGGUGGAAUUCCGCGUGUAGCAGUGAAAUGCGUAGAGAUGCGGAGGAACACCGAUGGCGAAGGCAGCCCCCUGGGCUGAGAUUGACGCUCAGGCACGAAAGCGUGGGGAGCAAACAGG